rnacentral:rRNA from 1 species
GAUGAACGCUAGCUACAGGCUUAACACAUGCAAGUCGAGGGGAAACGACAUCGAAAGCUUGCUUUUGAUGGGCGUCGACCGGCGCACGGGUGAGUAACGCGUAUCCAACCUGCCCACCACUUGGGGAUAACCUUGCGAAAGUAAGACUAAUACCCAAUGAUAUCUCUAGAAGACAUCUGAAAGAGAUUAAAGAUUUAUCGGUGAUGGAUGGGGAUGCGUCUGAUUAGCUUGUUGGCGGGGUAACGGCCUACCAAGGCUACGAUCAGUAGGGGUGAUGAGAGGGAGGUCCCCCCCAUUGGAGCUGAGACACGGUCCAAACUCCUACGGGAGGCAGCAGUGAGGAAUAUUGGUCAAGGAGCUAGAGCCUGAACCAGCCAAGUAGCGUGCAGGAUGACGGCCGUAUGGGUUGUAAACUGCUUUUAUAAAGGAAUAAAGUGAGUCUCGUGAGACUUUUUGCAUGUACCUUAUGAAUAAGGACCGGCUAAUUCCGUGCCAGCCGCCGCCGUAA